GCCGGGAUAGCUCAGCUGGGAGAGCAGCAGACUGAAGCGCCUAUUUGAGGAGGUUGUGUUCUGAAGGUCGCGUGUUCAAUCCACGCUCCUGGCA